rnacentral:rRNA from 1 species
AGUGAACGCUGGCGGUAGGCCUAACACAUGCAAGUCGAACGGCAGCACAGUAAGAGCUUGCUCUUACGGGUGGCGAGUGGCGGACGGGUGAGGAAUACAUCGGAAUCUACUUUUUCGUGGGGGAUAACGUAGGGAAAUUUACGCUAAUACCGCAUACGACCUACGGGUGAAAGCAGGGGAUCUUCGGACCUUGCGCGAUUGAAUGAGCCGAUGUCGGAUUAGCUAGUUGGCGGGGUAAAGGCCCACCAAGGCGACGAUCCGUAGCUGGUCUGAGAGGAUGAUCAGCCACACUGGAACUGAGACACGGUCCAGACUCCUACGGGAGGCAGCAGUGGGGAAUAUUGGACAAUGGGCGCAAGCCUGAUCCAGCCAUACCGCGUGGGUGAAGAAGGCCUUCGGGUUGUAAAGCCCUUUUGUUGGGAAAGAAAAGCAGCAGGUUAAUACCCCGCUGUUCUGACGGUACCCAAAGAAUAAGCGCCGGCUAACUUCGUG